UCGUCACACUAUCAUUAACUGAAUCCAUAGGUUAAUGAGGCGAACCGGGGGAACUGAAACAUCUAAGUACCCCGAGGAAAAGAAAUCAACCGAGAUUCCCCCAGUAGCGGCGAGCGAACGGGGAGGAGCCCAGAGCCUGAAUCAGCAUGUGUGUUAGUGGAAGCGUCUGGAAAGGCGCGCGAUACAGGGUGACAGCCCCGUACACAAAAGCGCAUGUGCUGUGAGCUCGAUGAGUAGGGCGGGACACGUGGUAUCCUGUCUGAAUAUGGGGGGACCAUCCUCCAAGGCUAAAUACUCCUGACUGACCGAUAGUGAACCAGUACCGUGAGGGAAAGGCGAAAAGAACCCCGGCGAGGGGAGUGAAAAAGAACCUGAAACCGUGUACGUACAAGCAGUGGGAGCACAGGUUUACCUGUGUGACUGCGUACCUUUUGUAUAAUGGGUCAGCGACUUAUAUUCUGUAGCAAGGUUAACCGAAUAGGGGAGCCGGAGGGAAACCGAGUCUUAAUUGGGCGUUAAGUUGCAGGGUAUAGACCCGAAACCCGGUGAUCUAGCCAUGGGCAGGUUGAAGGUUGGGUAACACUAACUGGAGGACCGAACCGACUAAUGUUGAAAAAUUAGCGGAUGACCUGUGGCUGGGGGUGAAAGGCCAAUCAAACCGGGAGAUAGCUGGUUCUCCCCGAAAGCUAUUUAGGUAGCGCCUCGUGAAUUCAUCUCCGGGGGUAGAGCACUGUUUCGGCUAGGGGGCCAUCCCGGCUUACCAACCCGAUGCAAACUGCGAAUACCGGAGAAUGUUAUCACGGGAGACACACGGCGGGUGCUAACGUCCGUCGUGAAGAGGGAAACAACCCAGACCGCCAGCUAAGGUCCCAAAGUCAUGGUUAAGUGGGAAACGAUGUGGGAAGGCCCAGACAGCCAGGAUGUUGGCUUAGAAGCAGCCAUCAUUUAAAGAAAGCGUAAUAGCUCACUGGUCGAGUCGGCCUGCGCGGAAGAUGUAACGGGGCUAAACCAUGCACCGAAGCUGCGGCAGCGACACUGUGUGUUGUUGGGUAGGGGAGCGUUCUGUAAGCCUGUGAAGGUGUGUCGUGAGGCAUGCUGGAGGUAUCAGAAGUGCGAAUGCUGACAUAAGUAACGAUAAAGCGGGUGAAAAGCCCGCUCGCCGGAAGACCAAGGGUUCCUGUCCAACGUUAAUCGGGGCAGGGUGAGUCGACCCCUAAGGCGAGGCCGAAAGGCGUAGUCGAUGGGAAACGGGUUAAUAUUCCCGUACUUGGUGUUACUGCGAAGGGGGGACGGAGAAGGCUAUGUUGGCCGGGCGACGGUUGUCCCGGUUUAAGCGUGUAGGUGUGUGUUCCAGGUAAAUCCGGUUCACUUUAACACUGAGGCGUGACGACGAGGCACUACGGUGCUGAAGCAACAAAUGCCCUGCUUCCAGGAAAAGCCUCUAAGCAUCAGGUAACAUCAAAUCGUACCCCAAACCGACACAGGUGGUCAGGUAGAGAAUACCAAGGCGCUUGAGAGAACUCGGGUGAAGGAACUAGGCAAAAUGGUGCCGUAACUUCGGGAGAAGGCACGCUGACACGUAGGUGAAGUGAUUUACUCAUGGAGCUGAAGUCAGUCGAAGAUACCAGCUGGCUGCAACUGUUUAUUAAAAACACAGCACUGUGCAAACACGAAAGUGGACGUAUACGGUGUGACGCCUGCCCGGUGCCGGAAGGUUAAUUGAUGGGGUCAGCGCAAGCGAAGCUCCUGAUCGAAGCCCCGGUAAACGGCGGCCGUAACUAUAACGGUCCUAAGGUAGCGAAAUUCCUUGUCGGGUAAGUUCCGACCUGCACGAAUGGCGUAAUGAUGGCCAGGCUGUCUCCACCCGAGACUCAGUGAAAUUGAACUCGCUGUGAAGAUGCAGUGUACCCGCGGCAAGACGGAAAGACCCCGUGAACCUUUACUAUAGCUUGACACUGAACAUUGAGCCUUGAUGUGUAGGAUAGGUGGGAGGCUUUGAAGUGUGGACGCCAGUCUGCAUGGAGCCGACCUUGAAAUACCACCCUUUAAUGUUUGAUGUUCUAACGUGGACCCGUUACCCGGGUUGCGGACAGUGUCUGGUGGGUAGUUUGACUGGGGCGGUCUCCUCCUAAAGAGUAACGGAGGAGCACGAAGGUUGGCUAAUCCUGGUCGGACAUCAGGAGGUUAGUGCAAUGGCAUAAGCCAGCUUGACUGCGAGCGUGACGGCGCGAGCAGGUGCGAAAGCAGGUCAUAGUGAUCCGGUGGUUCUGAAUGGAAGGGCCAUCGCUCAACGGAUAAAAGGUACUCCGGGGAUAACAGGCUGAUACCGCCCAAGAGUUCAUAUCGACGGCGGUGUUUGGCACCUCGAUGUCGGCUCAUCACAUCCUGGGGCUGAAGUAGGUCCCAAGGGUAUGGCUGUUCGCCAUUUAAAGUGGUACGCGAGCUGGGUUUAGAACGUCGUGAGACAGUUCGGUCCCUAUCUGCCGUGGGCGCUGGAGAACUGAGGGGGGCUGCUCCUAGUACGAGAGGACCGGAGUGGACGCAUCACUGGUGUUCGGGUUGUCAUGCCAAUGGCACUGCCCGGUAGCUAAAUGCGGAAGAGAUAAGUGCUGAAAGCAUCUAAGCACGAAACUUGCCCCGAG
rnacentral:rRNA from 1 species